UGGGGAAUAUUGCACAAUGGAGGGAACUCUGACGCAGCGACGCCGCGUGAGUGAUGAAGGAAUUCGUUUCGUAAAACUCUGUUCUAUGGGAAGAAAAGGACUGUACCAUAGGAGAAAGCUCCGGCUAAAUACGUGCCAGCAGCCGCGGUAAUACGUAUGGAGCGAGCGUUGUCCGGAAUUAUUGGGCGUAAAGGGUGCGCAGGCGGCUUUACAAGUUGGAUGUGAAAUAUUGUGGCUCAACCACAAACGUGCAUCCAAAACUGCAAAGCUUGAGUUAAGGAGAGGUAAGUGGAAUUCCUGGUGUAGCGGUGGAAUGCGUAGAUAUCAGGAGGAAUACCGGUGGCGAAGGCGACUUACUGGACUUAAACUGACGCUCAGGCACGAAAGCGUGGGGAGCAAACAGG
rnacentral:rRNA from 1 species